rnacentral:rRNA from 1 species
GAUGAACGCUGGCGGCGUGCCUAAUACAAUCAAGUCGAGCGAAGCGGGGACGGGUGAGUAACACGUGGAUAACCUCCUAUAAGACUGGGAUAACUUCGGGAAACCGGAGCUAAACCGGAUACUGAUAUAUGACUACGCGCUGCAUUAGCUAGUUGGUAAGGUAACGGCUUACCAAGGCAACGAUGCAUAGCCGACCUGAGAGGGUUAUAUGCCACAGUGGAACUGAGACACCGUCCAGACUCCUACGGGAGGCAGAAGUAGGGAAGCUUCCGCAAUGGGCGAAAGCCUGACGGAGCAACGCCGCGUGAGUGAUGAAGGUCUUCGGAGCGUAAAACUCUGUUAUUAUGGAAGCGGUAACUAAUCAGAAAGCCACGGCUAACUACGUGCCAGCAGCCGCGGUAAUUC